rnacentral:rRNA from 1 species
UACAGAGGGGGCUAGCGUUGCUCGGAAUUACUGGGCGUAAAGGGCGCGUAGGCGGCGCGGUUAGUCAGGCGUGAAAUUCCUGGGCUCAACCUGGGGACUGCGCUUGAUACGGCUGUGCUAGAGGGCGGAAGAGGCUCGCGGAAUUCCCAGUGUAGAGGUGAAAUUCGUAGAUAUUGGGAAGAACACCGGUGGCGAAGGCGGCGAGCUGGUCCGUUACUGACGCUGAGGCGCGACAGCGUGGGGAGCAAACAGG